AAGAGGCCCGUGAAAAAUGGAAGAAGCCAUCUGAUUGGUUGCUAUGGACAACUGCACUCCUCUUCUACUCAGGCACCACAUAGAUCAAUGACAUUUACUAAAGCGCUAAUCAAGUGGAUAGGCCAGCAGGUAUUUAUACAAUUUUCUGCAGGAACCGGAAGAUGCAUCUGUGACGCAAAACAAUGAGUUGUUCCAGUGAUACACUUGGAGCUGCCUUCCCACCCUGCACCCUGGUGAAGUUUGCUUUUUGUAUGGACAUUUUACAAUAAAGUAAAGUA